rnacentral:rRNA from 1 species
UACGUAGGUGGCAAGCGUUAUCCGGAAUUACUGGGCGUAAAGCGCACGCAGGCGGUCUUUUAAGUUUGACGUGAAAGCUCCCGGCUUAACUGGGAGAGGUCGUUGAAUACUGGAAGACUUGAGGCAAUGAGAGGGGUGUAGAAUUCCCGGUGUAGUGGUGGAAUGCGUAGAUAUCGGGAGGAACACCAGUGGCGAAGGCGACUACCUGGCCUGUUCUUGACGCUGAGGGGCGAAAGCUAGGGGAGCAAACGGG